UGCCAAGAUAGCCUAGCCAGGUAAGGCGCAGGACUUGAGAUCCUGUGGAGAUUUUCUCCGCCUGGGUUCAAAUCCCAGUCUUGGCGU
rnacentral:tRNA from 1 species